UGCCAUGUAGACCCAAGAGGUACCUAACAGA
rnacentral:piRNA from 1 species